UGGGGAAUAUUGCACAAUGGGGGCAAGCCUGAUGCAGCCAUGCCGCGUGUGUGAAGAAGGCUUUAGGGUUGUAAAGCACUUUCAGUCGGGAGGAAAGGUUAUCAGUUAAUACCUGGUAGCUGUGACGUUACCGACAGAAGAAGCACCGGCUAACUCCGUGCCAGCAGCCGCGGUAAUACGGAGGGUGCAAGCGUUAAUCGGAAUUACUGGGCGUAAAGCGCACGCAGGUGGUUUGUUAAGUUGGAUGUGAAAGCCCAGGGCUCAACCUUGGAAGUUCAUUCAAAACUGACGAACUAGAGUAUGGUAGAGGUAAGUGGAAUUUCCUGUGUAGCGGUGAAAUGCGUAGAGAUGGGAAGGAACAUCAGUGGCGAAGGCGACUUCCUGGACCAAUACUGACACUGAGGUACGAAAGCGUGGGUAGCAAACAGGAUUAGAUACCCUGGUAGUCCACGCCGUAAACGAUGUCUACUAGCCGUUUGUGUCCUUGAGACGUGAGUGGCGCAGCUAAC
rnacentral:rRNA from 1 species